rnacentral:rRNA from 1 species
UACGGAGGGUGCGAGCGUUGUCCGGAAUCACUGGGCGUAAAGGGCGCGUAGGCGGCCGCCUAAGUCAGACGUGAAAUCCCUCGGCUCAACCGGGGAACUGCGUCUGAUACUGGGUGGCUUGAAUCCGGGAGAGGGAUGCGGAAUUCCAGGUGUAGCGGUGAAAUGCGUAGAUAUCAGGAGGAACACCGAUGGCGAAGGCAGCUCGCUGGGACGGUACUGACGCUGAGGCGCGAAAGCGUGGGGAGCAAACAGG